rnacentral:rRNA from 1 species
AUGAACGCUGGCGGCGUGCCUAAUACAUGCAAGUCGCGCGAACAGACGAGGAGCUUGCUCCUCUGACGUUAGCGGCGGACGGGUGAGUAACACGUGGAUAACCUACCUAUAAGACUGGGAUAACUUCGGGAAACCGGAGCUAAUACCGGAUAAUAUAUUGAACCGCAUGGUUCAAUAGUGAAAGACGGUUUUGCUGUCACUUAUAGAUGGAUCCGCGCCGCAUUAGCUAGUUGGUAAGGUAACGGCUUACCAAGGCAACGAUGCGUAGCCGACCUGAGAGGGUGAUCGGCCACACUGGAACUGAGACACGGUCCAGACUCCUACGGGAGGCAGCAGUAGGGAAUCUUCCGCAAUGGGCGAAAGCCUGACGGAGCAACGCCGCGUGAGUGAUGAAGGUCUUCGGAUCGUAAAACUCUGUUAUUAGGGAAGAACAAAUGUGUAAGUAACUAUGCACGUCUUGACGGUACCUAAUCAGAAAGCCACGGCUAACUACG